UCAGUCGACUCCUACGGGGAGGCAGCAGUGGGGGAAUAUUGCACAAUGGGCGCAAGCCUGAUGCAGCCAUGCCGCGUGUAUGAAGAAGGACCUUCGGGUUGUAAAGUACUUUCAGCAGUGAGGAAGGUGGGAUAUGUUAAUAGCAUAUUCAUUUGACGUUAGCUGCAGAAGAAAGCACCGGCUAACUCCGUGCCAGCAGCCGCGGUAAUACGGAGGGUGCGAGCGUUAAUCGGAAUUACUGGGCGUAAAGCGCAUGCAGGUGGUUUGUUAAGUCAGAUGUGAAAGCCCGGGGCUCAACCUCGGAAUUGCAUUUGAAACUGGCAAACUAGAGUACUGUAGAGGGGGGUAGGAAUUUCAGGUGUAGCGGUGAAAUGCGUAGAGAUCUGAAGGAAUACCGGUGGCGAAGGCGGCCCCCUCGGACAGAUACUGACACUCAGAUGCGAAAGCGUGGGGAGCAAACAGGAUUAGAUACCCUGGUAG
rnacentral:rRNA from 1 species